UCAAUCCAGGUAUCCUUUAAUUUCAUUGUGCUUAAAAUAUUAAUAAAAUGUGUUUACGUAAAUUUAUGAAAAAUAUUUAUUUUGCAAACUAAAUGUUCAUUUUCAUAGAUUUUAUGGAAAAAAAAUGAGUGAGAAUCAUCAAAUAGGAUUGGUAAGCGGAGCAAACAGGGUGUAGAGCCUCCCAGUAUAUGCUAAAAUUCCUGAUUAAUCCAUGGGCAUAUCAUAUGCACUGAAAUUCACAGGGAACUUGCUUUUGAUGCACUGAAGACCCUGUUGCUGAGGGUGAAGAUUAAACGGAUACACAGCUCAAUCUACCCCCAAAGGGGUCAUCCAAGAAGAAUAUCCAAUCUAUAAAGACAAACGAGGCUAGUCGAGAGAGAUAAAUGGGCAUUAUUUCAAAGGGCGGUUACCAUACGCUGAGUUAGUAAAUCAGUUAUUUUGCCGUAAGGAGGAAUCCACCAGAAAUGUGAGUAAUCCAAAAUCUCAGUUGUAAUACAAAAUCAUUGCAACAAGAUCAGUUAUCUUUACUUUCGUCUGAUGGAUGAUUUUAAGCUCCUUUGACAAGACAGAGAUAAGAGUGCAUUUUAACUCAGUCAUUCCAGACAUAAAAAUCUCACCUACUCCAAUUAAAAAGUGAACAGGGUGCUAUCUGAUCCUUCUGGCAAGUCAUGAUCUCCUCUGGCAAUGAUUCCCAGGAUAUUCCUGGCCUUAAAGAUCUGCUGCUGAAGUAAUGUUCCUAUAUGUC